rnacentral:rRNA from 1 species
GAGUUUGAUCGUGGCUCAGAUUGAACGCUGGCGGCAUGCCUUACACAUGCAAGUCGAACGGUAACAGGUCUUCGGAUGCUGACGAGUGGCGAACGGGUGAGUAAUACAUCGGAACGUGCCCGAUCGUGGGGGGAUAACGGAGCGAAAGCUUUGCUAAUACCGCAUACGAUCUACGGAUGAAAGCAGGGGACCGCAAGGCCUUGCGCGGACGGAGCGGCCGAUGGCAGAUUAGGUAGUUGGUGGGAUAAAAGCUUACCAAGCCGACGAUCUGUAGCUGGUCUGAGAGGACGACCAGCCACACUGGGACUGAGACACGGCCCAGACUCCUACGGGAGGCAGCAGUGGGGAAUUUUGGACAAUGGGCGAAAGCCUGAUCCAGCCAUGCCGCGUGCAGGAUGAAGGCCUCGGUUGUAACU